rnacentral:rRNA from 1 species
UACAGAGGGUGCAAACGUUGUUCGGAAUUACUGGGCGUAAAGCGUGUGUAGGUGGCCAUUCAAGUCGGAUGUGAAAGCCACGGGCUCAACCCGUGAAGUGCAUUCGAUACUGCUUGGCUUGAGUAUCGGAGAGGUUGGUGGAAUUCUCGGUGUAGAGGUGAAAUUCGUAGAUAUCGAGAGGAACAUCGGUGGCGAAGGCGGCCAACUGGACGAAUACUGACACUGAGACACGAAAGCGUGGGGAGCAAACAGG